GGGAGGGUGGGUACCCAGCACUCCAGGCUGCCUCUGCUGAGCGCUGGAGGGAGAGAUGGUUUUAAGAAGCAGGGCUUAGAAAAGGUGGCUGGGGACAGCCAGGCUGCCUAGGACACCCUCCAGUGCCUCUGGGUGGAGCCCAGCCCCCGCCCAUCCUUCCUCAGGCCAUCUUAAGCUCCACAGAAGACCACAUGGGGAACCUCCAGAGCUGGGUCCCCCCUGGCUUUGCCCUCCCAGAAAACAAAGAUGUGGAGCUUGUCACAAACAAGGGAUGACCUGGCUGCAAACACAGAGGAACUUGGAAACACCUAGGGUGAGUUUGUGAAUUUUGAACUUGGAACAGAAUCACCAAGGGAGCCAGGCUUUGGUAGAGUGUGGGGGUUGGGGUUUGCCCAGGUUGGCACAGGCGCUGGUCUCCAGGAGCCCCGCCCUGGGAUCCUAGGACACUCCCCAUGUGGCUCUCAGGAGGAGAGUGGCACUGAUGUCACCAUGCUGACAUUCUCGUGGUCCUGAGCUGAGAGAGGUGUGAGAAAGCCUGAGUCGCAGGCCAGCAGACCUUCAGCACCCGCGGACAGCACCCUUCUCUACUUGGGGGGGAGGGCAGAGGGCGUGUGACUUCCGUGAGGACCUGGAGCCUCUUGCUCACAGGGGAGCAGCUCUAGAAGUGGGCAGGGACUGACCCUGACAGUCUGGUGGAGGUCCCCACGUGACCAGCUGGGAGGGAGACCUACUCCAAGGUCCUCCAAAGCUCAGUGGCUGUGUGGCCAAGGUUUUAAUGUUGACCGGUGGGGCACUGGGGUCGGGGGGCCGUCUUGUGUAUGGCAGGACAUGCCACAGUGUCUCGCAUCUCCCACUAGUUGAGAUAACCAAGACCACCUGCAGACACUGGCAAAAAUUCCUGCAGGACAGAGCGUCCCACGUUAAGAAUUGCAGCUGUAGCGAUUCUCAUCCAGAACAGAGUUAGAGGUGAAUAGGCAACUUCCUGUUUAUCAAAAGUUGAGGCUUACAAAUCUAGAAUCUUCCUGGAUUAUUACCUGGUGUAUGCUCAGCCAGCCCAAAGAGCCCUGUGAGGAGUGAUGGGAAAAGUGAACGAGACAUCCUGACUCAGACAAUCCUUUUAGGAUCUGCCCUGAGUUGGGAAAAAAAGCCUGUGGCCCAGAGAGACCACAGCCUCUUACUGGGAAUCACUGGCUUCGUGAGUCGGAGUCUGGCCUUCUGGUGAAAAGGACGGUCUCUCAACCUCCCAGCCACAUUCCCUUCAUCUUUCAUUCCUCGACCAGCUCAAGGCCCCCAGAGUUAGGAGGUCUGGGUCCCAAAGGCCACAUGGUGGGCCCCACAGCCUCAGGCAGGUGAGAUGGAGCAGGUGCACGAUGGGGGCUAGUGCUCUGCUCCCCUGGGAGGCAUCCAGGACACGCUGACAUGAGGAGAUGGCCGGCCACCACAGUCAGGAGGACUCGGGGGAUGGGCUAUAGGGUGACACAGGUCUGCAGAGGCUGCACCUGCUCUGGUGGCCCAGGGAUUCGGAGGUGGGUGGAAGGAGGGCGGUGUGGACGGUGGAGAGGGGCAGCCCACGUGGGCUCCCGUCUUAGAUGGGGUCCCUUAGAUGGGGUCCUCCAGCUGCAGCCAAAGGCAAGCCCUGCUCCGUUUUGUCGAGCUGCAAGCGAGGAUGGAGGAUGGACUCUGCACUUUAGGUGACUGGACAGUCUCAAAACCAGACACUCUCAGGCCACAUUCAAGUCACAUGCGACUUGUGUGACAUUCCAGCUCCUGUGCUCGUGACCAAGUCCUGCUGGAGGUCGGGGGUGGCCGCCCAUCAGUGCUCUGCUGGUGGCGGCUCUCGUGCCAGGACAGCACCGACUGAUCAGAGCAGGGCCCUCUGGCCUGCACCCUAAGACCUGCUGCCCUGUCCUCCUCAGAGGUCAUCUGCUGACCCUAAGUUUAGGGCAAAUGGCUGGGACCAGAGGCAGGGUUCCCAGGGCUCCAGGGAAGAGGUUCUGCUGAGCUGCAGGACGAACCUCGAAUGCCAGGCUGAGCAGGUUGGGGAUGGGCUGAGCUUGGCAUCUGGGCAGGGCGUGGAGAGGGCAGGGAUUCAGGAAGAAGGACGUGCUUGUGCGGAUGUCCUGCCAGAGGUGAGAGGCCAGAGCGGGGACACCUCUUAGCACUCAUCUCGGUGUCUCAGGAGCCUGUCCUCAUGUCCAGAGCUUCCCUAGCCCUUUGCAGAGAGCAUCAUGGUGACCCUCAGCCCAGGGUGGCCCACUGACCUGGCUUUGAGGCAGGGCCUGGACCCACAGGGACUCAGCAUCUGGUACCUGGUGCCUGCUCAGCUCAUGGGGGUAGAUGCAGAAGGACUGUCAGAGAAGAGCUGGGGAGAGAAGGCGGGAUGGAGGAGGGACCCUGCACUGGAGGAGACUGGACACGGAGGAGGAGGACAGGGCCAGCAGCCUUGCCCUUAGCCGAGACUGUUCUGCAGGAGCCCCCGGUCACCCCCAGGCCUGUCCAGGCCAUGGCAGCCAGGGCAGCUCUGUGAGCCAAGGCCCUUCCUGUUUCAUGACCACACGCUCAUCUCCCUGCCCCCCUGACCCUGGCUGCCCCCUCCAGCCCAGGGUGUGUGGUAUAGAGUGAGUGGUUCCAGGGCCCUGAGUGGGGGUGCUGGACAAGGAGGACCAGGACCAUCUUGCUGUAACUCACCGGGCCCAGUAUUCCCUGCUCUGUCCCCUGGCCUGCUGGCUGGCUGGAUGCCCUUGGAAGACAACACGGCACAGUGCCUCUCUGGUGCUGCUGGGGAGGGCUCUGAGGGGGGGCCUGCGUGUCCUCACGGUCUCCUAGGAGCCCCCUCUGCUCGCCUCCACCCUCCUCCUCCUCUGUCCUGGGGAGCCUGCUUCAUCCCCGAGAAAGAGCCAGAAGCUGAUGCAGGAGAGAAGGGAGGGUGUGGGGCUCCUCCUUCCUUUCCAGCCCUGCAGGGGUGGGUGGAGACCCGGCACCUCCAGGCACUGCCUCCUGCAGUCUCACCCCUUCCUGUCCUGGAGGCUGGCUGGCCCAGGCCAAGCAAGAGGGCUGGAGAUGCAGACAGAGGGGGCCCAGGGCAGAAGCACCCACCCCAGCCUUCCUUUCCCACAUGGAAAAGAAAGAACGCAGAACAGGCCGACCCGGGCUCUGGCAGCCAGAGCUGCUCCCCAGCAUCGCGCCCCACCUUGUCUUUCAAAGGGGUCCCUGGGUGCUGCUGGUCCCCUCCCCUUCUGAGUUUGGGUGGGAGGCCCCAGUGUCCCCUCCUCGAGGAUCCAGGCACAGAAGCCCAAGAACCAAAGGAUGCAGAGGAGGCCCCCCUUGCUUUGUUUGGUGUGUGGAUUGAACUGGUUUCUAUUCCUGCCGGAGGAGGAUGAGAGCCAAGGAGGUUUAACGAUCUAACUGCAAUUUGCAUAUAAAGCUAUGAGGCGAAGCAGGCAGACUUUCCAUUACCCAGCCGAUAACGGCUCCUUCCCGAGCAAAUGGCUUUCUGGAGGGAUCCAACAGCCCACGUGGGGGAUGCGGGCCGGGCUCCAGCAAGGCUGCGGCAGGGCCCUCUGCACACGCUGGGCCUGGCUUGGGCUGGCCUCUAGGACCGGCAGGGUGGCUCCUUCUGGAAGAGUGGAUAAAACACAAUCUGCCCCUCCCUCCCCAAGCGAGGCAGGGCUGUUCCUGCUGCCUGUGUGCUCUGUGGGUGCCCGAGCAGAGGGCUUGGGUGUCUGUCCUGGGUGGGCAUUGCCUUGGGGAAAUGGGUCUAAAGCUGGAACCUCUCUGAUGCUCUCCAAAUGAUGUGUGUGUGUGUGUGUGUGUGUGUUUGUGUGUGCGCGUACACACACGGGGCUGGACCCUGGAGGGCAGGUUGGGACUCAGAUCUCCCUGACUUCCUCUAGGACAAUUCCCAGGUCAGUAUGUCCUCAUUGUCAGCUUCACUGGCCCCAGAAGAGCUAUGGCAAGGUGUGUAGUGGACAGAUGGGCAUUAGCCUUGGGAGAGCUUCCCUUUCUACCUGGGUGUCUCUGCUGCACCCCAUGGUGCCAGGAAGAAAUGGUGCCAUUGGGUGCUGAGAGCAGGAAGUCCAGGGACAUUCUGGGCUUGGAAAAUGUGGGCGUGUCAUGUGCAGUGGACUCAGAGAGAACGUGUUGGUGGGACUUGGUCCACAGGUCUCUAGCCUAGUGGGCACUGGUACCCAGGAUGGAGUGUGGUCCUCAGUAACAGAAACAAUGGAGGGCCACGGACGGUCACAGCAGAAGGGCUGUGCCCCGGAGAAUGUGCCUGCACACCGACUUGAAGGAGAAGCUCCCAAGAGCUGCUGACACUAAGCUGUCCACCCCGAGCCCCAUGACCCCAACAAGAGAGGCCCAUGCCCUCCACCCAGGACUGUGAAGGCGACUUCUGUUGGAGAUAAAGGUUCCUGCAGGUAGAAUUAAGUAAAGAUCUUGAAGUGUGAUCAUCCUGGAGAGAGGGCAGGUCCCCAAUCCAACGACGGUGCAGCCGGCCUCCCACAGCUGUGGAUCCAGCAAACCACAGAUUGAAAAUGUGCUGGAAAAAAACUGCAGCCGCACUGAACAGGUUCAGACUCCUCUCUUGUCACUACUGCCCUCACGCACAGCGCAGCAGCUAUUCACGCGGCAUCUGCAUUGUGCUAAGUAAUCUGGAGAUGGUUUCAAGAACACGGCGGCGGUCCACAGGUUAUGUGCAGACCCUGCACCAUCGUGUGCAAGGAGCUAGGGCAUCUUGGGAUUUGGGUAUCCACGGGGGUCCUGGAGCCCACGUCCCAUCCCCUAGGAGAAGACAGGAGAAUAUGGAGUUGCAAAGGGGACAGCCCUGUGGCCAGGAGGCAGAGACUGGAGCAAUGCAGCCACCAGCCAGGGACACCUAUAGCUACCAGAAGCUGGAAGAGGUGGCGGGACCUUCCGAGACUUUGGAGGGAACCCUGCAGACACCUGCCGUUGGCCCCUGGGCUCCGGAGCUGCGAGGCACCAGCCUCCUCCCAUAGAGGACCCUUGCUAAAGCCGCGGUCAGGGCACGUCCUGUGCCAGGCUGGUGCGGGUGCCAGGCCUUGUGCUAUGCAGCCUCUAUCACAGCCGUAGAUGCUUCUGCCUGGUUCUGAAAUCCAGCCGCAGGCCAUGCAUGUGCGUGCAAGCGCGGCUGCAAACCCAAGGACACUCUGUGGACCUGAAAUUCAAUGCUCAUGUCAUUUCACAUGUUGUAAACUAUUUUCCUUCUUUGGAUGUCUUUUCCAACCUGUUAAAAGCGUAAAAGCCACUCUUAGUUGGCAGCCAGUCCAACAACAGGCAGUGAGCUGGGCUUGGCGGCAGCCACGGUUGGUGACCUCUGAGCCAGACGAGCCGGGAGAGCAGAGUGUGUGGGACGUAGACUGUGCUCCUGGGCAUCUGCUCCUGCUCCCUGAGGGCCGAGGGCACCUCAGGCCAGAGCGGGACAGGCACCCGGCUGGAGCCAGCGACCCUUCCCACUGAGCCCAGCUGCGUCCAGUCGGUGAGCAUCACCAGCUGCCCAGUCCACAGAGCCCCCUUUCCUUGACUUUAAAUAUGGAGCAUUUUAAAUGUUAAAGAGCUUGAUAAAAAACAGCUUGCGACAGAGUUGAAACAGCGUGGAGGGCGGCCACCACCGCAGCUCCUUUCUGUAAGGAGCUGGUUAUGAAGAGCAC
rnacentral:lncRNA from 1 species